UGUUUGAUGUUCUAACGUGGACCCGUGAUCCGGGUUGCGGACAGUGUCUGGUGGGUAGUUUGACUGGGGCGGUCUCCUCCUAAAGAGUAACGGAGGAGCACGAAGGUUGGCUAAUCCUGGUCGGACAUCAGGAGGUUAGUGCAAUGGCAUAAGCCAGCUUGACUGCGAGCGUGACGGCGCGAGCAGGUGCGAAAGCAGGUCAUAGUGAUCCGGUGGUUCUGAAUGGAAGGGCCAUCGCUCAACGGAUAAAAGGUACUCCGGGGAUAACAGGCUGAUACCGCCCAAGAGUUCAUAUCGACGGCGGUGUUUGGCACCUCGAUGUCGGCUCAUCACAUCCUGGGGCUGAAGUAGGUCCCAAGGGUAUGGCUGUUCGCCAUUUAAAGUGGUACGCGAGCUGGGUUUAGAACGUCGUGAGACAGUUCGGUCCCUAUCUGC
rnacentral:rRNA from 2 species